rnacentral:misc_RNA from 1 species
AAGUCGUAACAAGGUUUCCGUAGGUGAACCUGCGGAAGGAUCAUUAAUGAACUUGGUUGGGUUGAUGCUGGCUCUCCAGAGCAUGUGCACGCCUACUCCAUUUCAACCCACCUGUGCACCUUCUGUAAACAUGGACAACUCUCGAGGAAGCUUUUCUCGGAUUUAGAAAAUUGCUGUGCAAAAGCCAGCUUUUUCUUGUGUUCCUAGUUUAUGUUUUUUCAUAUACCCUCUAAAAUGUAAUAGAAUGUUGCUAUAGGCUUUUUGUGCCUUUAAAAACAAUACAACUUUCAACAACGGAUCUCUUGGCUCUC